AUACAUGCAAGUCGAACGGUAAGCACCUGCUUGCAGGUGACACGAGUGGCGCACGGGUGCGUAACGCGUAUGCAAUCUACCUCUAACUGGGAAAUAGCCCCGAGAAAUCGGGAUUAAUAUCCCAUAAUAUCCAUUUAACGCAUGUUUUAUGGAUUAAAGUUCCGACGGUUAGAGAUGAGCAUGCGUAACAUUAGUUUGUUGGUGAGGUAACGGCUCACCAAGACUUCGAUGUUUAGGGGUUCUGAGAGGAUUAUCCCCCACACUGGUACUGAGACACGGACCAGACUCCUACGGGAGGCAGCAGUAAGGAAUAUUGGUCAAUGGACGAAAGUCUGAACCAGCCAUGCCGCGUGCAGGAUGACUGCCCUAUGGGUUGUAAACUGCUUUUAUACGGGAAAAAACCCCCAUACGUGUAUGGGGCUGAUGGUACCGUAAGAAUAAGCACCGGCUAACUCCGUGCCAGCAGCCGCGGUAAUACGGAGGGUGCAAGCGUUAUCCGGAUUUAUUGGGUUUAAAGGGUGCGCAGGCGGAAUGAUAAGUCAGUGGUGAAAGCCUACAGCUUAACUGUAGAAAUGCCAUUGAUACUGUCGUUCUUGAGUACAGUUGAAGUGGGCGGAAUGUGUCAUGUAGCGGUGAAAUGCAUAGAUAUGACACAGAACACCGAUAGCGAAGGCGGCUCACUAAGCUGAAACUGACGCUCAGGCACGAAAGCGUGGGGAGCAAACAGGAUUAGAUACCCUGGUAGUCCACGCCGUAAACGAUGAUCACUCGAUGUUGGCAAUAUACCGUCAGCGUCCUAGAGAAAUCGUUAAGUGAUCCACCUGGGGAGUACGCUCGCAAGAGUGAAAUUCAAAGGAAUUGACGGGGGCCCGCACAAGCGGAGGAGCAUGUGGUUUAAUUCGAUGAUACGCGAGGAACCUUACCUGGGCCUAAAUGUAGGACGACAGUCCCCGAAAGGGGAUUUUCUUCGGACGUCUUACAAGGUGCUGCAUGGUUGUCGUCAGCUCGUGCCGUGAGGUGUCGGGUUAAGUCCCAUAACGAGCGCAACCCCUAUCCUUAGUUGCUAUCAGAUAAUGCUGGGGACUCUAGGGAAACUGCCUACGCAAGUAGUGAGGAAGGUGGGGAUGACGUCAAAUCAGCACGGCCCUUAUGUCAGGGCUACACACGUGCUACAAUGGCCGGUACAGAGGGCAGCUACUUGGUGACAAGAUGCUAAUCUCCAAAACCGGUCUCAGUUCGGAUCGAAGUCUGCAACUCGACUUUGUGAAGUUGGAUUCGCUAGUAAUCGCGCAUCAGCCAUGGCGCGGUGAAUACGUUCCCGGGCCUUGUACACACCGCCCGUCAAGCCAUGGAAGCUGGGGGUACCUGAAGUCCGUGACCGCAAGGAGCGGCCUAGGGUAAAACCAGUGACUGGGGCUAAGUCGUAACAAGGUA
rnacentral:rRNA from 1 species